UUGCUUUCCUGCCGGCGAGUGGCGAACGGGUGAGUAAUACAUCGGAACGUGCCCUGUAGUGGGGGAUAACUAGUCGAAAGAUUAGCUAAUGCCGCAUACGACCUGAGGGUGAAAGUGGGGGACCGCAAGGCCUCAUGCUAUAGGAGCGGCCGAUGUCUGAUUAGCUAGUUGGUGGGGUAAAGGCCUACCAAGGCGACGAUCAGUAGCUGGUCUGAGAGGACGAUCAGCCACACUGGGACUGAGACACGGCCCAGACUCCUACGGGAGGCAGCAGUGGGGAAUUUUGGACAAUGGGGGCAACCCUGAUCCAGCAAUGCCGCGUGUGUGAAGAAGGCCUUCGGGUUGUAAAGCACUUUUGUCCGGAAAGAAAUCGCACUGGUUAAUACCUGGUGUGGAUGACGGUACCGGAAGAAUAAGGACCGGCUAACUACGUGCCAGCAGCCGCGGUAAUACGUAGGGUCCAAGCGUUAAUCGGAAUUACUGGGCGUAAAGCGUGCGCAGGCGGUUGUGCAAGACCGAUGUGAAAUCCCCGGGCUUAACCUGGGAAUUGCAUUGGUGACUGCACGGCUAGAGUGUGUCAGAGGGGGGUAGAAUUCCACGUGUAGCAGUGAAAUGCGUAGAGAUGUGGAGGAAUACCGAUGGCGAAGGCAGCCCCCUGGGAUAACACCGACGCUCAUGCACGAAAGCGUGGGGAGCAAACAGGAUUAGAUACCCUGGUAGUCCACGCCCUAAACGAUGUCAACUAGUUGUUGGGGAUUCAUUUCCUUAGUAACGUAGCUAACGCGUGAAGUUGACCGCCUGGGGAGUACGGUCGCAAGAUUAAAACUCAAAGGAAUUGACGGGGACCCGCACAAGCGGUGGAUGAUGUGGAUUAAUUCGAUGCAACGCGAAAAACCUUAC
rnacentral:rRNA from 1 species